rnacentral:tRNA from 1 species
UGGGGUGGUCGUUCAGCGGCAACCUCGGUUUUGGCAGGAUCGACGGGAUUCGCAAUUUCAGGAAGGGAGCCUCGUUCAGUAUCGGGGCAUCCUAU